UUAUUGUGUCUCCUGGCAGAAAUGCAUCC
rnacentral:piRNA from 1 species